rnacentral:rRNA from 1 species
UGCAGUCGAGCGGAACGAGUUAUCUGAACCUUCGGGGGACGAUAACGGCGUCGAGCGGCGGACGGGUGAGUAAUGCCUAGGAAAUUGCCCUGAUGUGGGGGAUAACCAUUGGAAACGAUGGCUAAUACCGCAUAAUGCCUACGGGCCAAAGAGGGGGACCUUCGGGCCUCUCGCGUCAGGAUAUGCCUAGGUGGGAUUAGCUAGUUGGUGAGGUAAUGGCUCACCAAGGCGACGAUCCCUAGCUGGUCUGAGAGGAUGAUCAGCCACACUGGAACUGAGACACGGUCCAGACUCCUACGGGAGGCAGCAGUGGGGAAUAUUGCACAAUGGGCGCAAGCCUGAUGCAGCCAUGCCGCGUGUGUGAAGAAGGCCUUCGGGUUGUAAAGCACUUUCAGUCGUGAGGAAGGUGGUGUAGUUAAUAGCUGCAUUACUUGACGUUAGCGACAGAAGAAGCACCGGCUAACUCCGUGCCAGCAGCCGCGGUAAUACGGAGGGUGCGAGCGUUAAUCGGAAUUACUGGGCGUAAAGCGCAUGCAGGUGGUUUGUUAAGUCAGAUGUGAAAGCCCGGGGCUCAACCUCGGAAUAGCAUUUGAAACUGGCAGACUAGAGUACUGUAGAGGGGGGUAGAAUUUCAGGUGUAGCGGUGAAAUGCGUAGAGAUCUGAAGGAAUACCGGUGGCGAAGGCGGCCCCCUGGACAGAUACUGACACUCAGAUGCGAAAGCGUGGGGAGCAAACAGGAUUAGAUACCCUGGUAGUCCACGCCGUAAACGAUGUCUACUUGGAGGUUGUGGCCUUGAGCCGUGGCUUUCGGAGCUAACGCGUUAAGUAGACCGCCUGGGGAGUACGGUCGCAAGAUUAAAACUCAAAUGAAUUGACGGGGGCCCGCACAAGCGGUGGAGCAUGUGGUUUAAUUCGAUGCAACGCGAAGAACCUUACCUACUCUUGACAUCCAGAGAACUUUCCAGAGAUGGAUUGGUGCCUUCGGGAACUCUGAAACAGGUGCUGCAUGGCUGUCGUCACCUCGUGUUGUGAAAUGUUGGGUUAAGUCCCGCAACGAGCGCAACCCUUAUCCUUGUUUGCC